rnacentral:lncRNA from 1 species
CUAAAAUCCAUAGCAUUGUAGUCAUGGCAACAUGCUAAAUUUUCUCAUACAACUAAACCUUACGGGAAGGUGAGGGAGGGGUUGUACAUUUCCCAUUGUAAAAUAAGUGUUUGAAUGUUCUGUACUGCUAAUGAAAUGACUUUCUCUAUGUCCAGGAGUCCUCCAGUGAAAUAACUAUGCACUACUUUACAUUUCAUGAGGAUGCACAAAAAAAAAAAAAAAAAAAGUAUUACAUUUUUAGUUGCUGUUUGUACCAACCUUGAAUUACAAAUGUUUAACAACAACAAAUCAAAAACCCUAUUUCUAUUUGAGUUUUUAAUACUGAGUAGCAACUCUGAAGUCUUAAUUCCUUUUUUGUUAUUUCUUUGUGAGUUUACAUUUUUAAAUUGUUUAACUUUCUUAAUUUAGUAAUUAAAAAGAGAGCAUUUU